UGCCUAGCAACAUAGGCAAGUUACCCUUCCCGGGCCUUUUCCUUCACUGUUCGGCGUCCUAUUUCAACUCAUAACUCUAAAGUGACUUUUGUUCGUCCUCUGCAAUGAUAAUGAAAGGCAUUACAGAUACCUCCCUUACAGUCUGUCUAAUUUUUGAAGUAAAAUAAUAUUGAUAACUAUGGAAUACAAAAGAAGUAAUACCAGAAUUAACUAUUACCAACUAUUCUAUACAUUAUUAUGGAGGGCACGCAACAUAAAUGACUCCGAUGACAGAUUUGGUGACUGAUUUAUAAUCAAUUCAAAGUUUUUGCAAAGACCUUUGUUUUGUACCUUUUUCUUUACAGUUCAAUGAUUGGCACAUUUAAAUGUGAUAUGAAAGCAAA
rnacentral:lncRNA from 1 species